GUCUCUGCUCAUUGCAGGGGCCUUGGCUAGAUGACCUUUAAAGGUCUCUUCCAACCCAAACUAUUGCAGAUGACACCGAGCUGCAGAUGACACCGAGUUGUGGGGCUGAAUCUAGCACAUGGAUACGUUGUUCAAGGCAGUGGCCUGACUCUGUGUUUUCAGGACUCAAGUGUCAAACUUCUGGGUGAUAUUACACACUGACACUGUGUACAGACAAUGGCUGGGAGGAAUUUGAUGUGUUCUGUAUGCUAUUCAAGUUUUUAAAACACAGCUACUGAUGUCUUGGUUAUGGAUUUCAAAGGAUCAUUGCUCUUAUGGCUUCCCAAGAGAAUAGUAGGAAGAUGUCAUACAGAGAGAUUGACUUGAUUGCAUGCGGCUGCUGAAAGAGAAGUGCAUGGCAAGUGAUGUAUACCAUAACUGUUCAAGUUAAAUUUUUUAUGAUUAUUUUAAAAUAUGAGGUACUUUAUAAAGAUUUUGCAGCAAAAAUAAAAGCUAUGAUUUGGAAAUUCUAUUUCAUGUUCACAUUAUGGUGGUAUAGCUGUUGAAAGCUAUUAUUUGCUCCUAAUUAUUUCUGAAGUAUUUAAAUACUUCAUAAUACUCUGCUGUUUCCUGUCUUCUCAUAUGGUUCCUAUUCUGUAAAUAUGCAAGAGGCUGCUUCCUAGCUCUUGCGAGAAAUAUCUGUACUUUGAGGUGUACUCAAUGCUCGUCCGAGGUAUUUUCCCUUGUCAUAUUAGCUGGAGGAUCAGACCUAAGUUUGAACUGCUCUACCCUGCUUCUGUGAUAUUCUGUAAUUUCAACCCUGUUCAGUGGCCUGGUCUGAACAUGCUGAAGACCACAAGCCUUUUACAGAGUCCAUCCAUAUUCUGUGUGCCUACUUGAGAAACAAUCAUACACUGAAAUCAUGGAGAUGUUUUGGGUUACUUAAAAUAAAAUCUUGAUGAGUCCCUCCACUGACUAAUUUCUACCUAGUUGUCUACUUCAUGGGACACACUGAGGUUUUUAUAUGCAUGUCAUUGUUCUUUAUACUUUCUUUUUUUCCUAGUGGCUGAAACAUUUCUCCUGGCAUUAAAAAAUACAUACAAUUCCAAAUCUGGUGAUUAAUUUUUUUGUUUGUUUUGUUUCCCUC